GGGGCACUUGUGAAUACAGACAUGGGGACACUGGGAGACAUGGAGACACUGGGAGACAUGGGGACACUGGGAUACAGAGACAUGGGGACACUGAAACAUUUGGGGACACUAAGACACUAGGGACAUUGAGAGACAUGAGAACACAGACACUGGGAGACUAUGGGACACUGGGAGACUAGGGGACACUUGUGGACAUAGACAUGGGGACACUGGGAGACAUGGGGACAAAGACAUUUGGGGACACUGAGAGACAUGGGGACACAGACACCUGGAGACUUGAGGACACUGGCUGGGAGACAUGGGGACACUGGGAGACAUGGGGACUCUGAGUCACUAGGGACACUGAGAGACAUGGGGACACAGACACUGUGAGACUAGGGGAAACUGGGAACCAUGUGACCACUGAGCCACUAGGGACACUGGCUGGGAGACAUGG